GACGAACGCUGGCGGCGUGCUUAACACAUGCAAGUCGAACGGAGAAUUUUAUUUCGGUAGAAUUCUUAGUGGCGAACGGGUGAGUAACGCGUAGACAACCUGCCUCUUAGAUGGGGACAACAUCGCGAAAGCGGUGCUAAUACCGAAUGAAGUGGAGCUUCCGCAUGGAAGCAUCACCAAAGGUGGCCUCUAUUUAUAAGCUACCACUGAGAGAUGGGUCUGCGUCUGAUUAGCUAGUUGGCGGGGUAAUGGCCCACCAAGGCGACGAUCAGUGGCCGGUCUGAGAGGAUGAACGGCCACAUUGGGACUGGGAAACGGCCCAAACUCCUACGGGAGGCAGCAGGGGGGAAUCUUCCGCAAUGGACGAAAGUCUGACGGAGCAACGCCGCGUGAGUGAAGAAGGUUUUCGGAUCGUAAAGCUCUGUUGUUUGAGACGAAUGUGCAGACUUUGAAUAAGGGUUUGUAAUGACGGUAUUAAACGAGAAAGCCACGGCUAACUACGUGCCAGCCGCCGCCGUAA
rnacentral:rRNA from 1 species